UACGUAGGGGGCAAGCGUUGUCCGGAUUUAUUGGGCGUAAAGCGCGUGUAGGCGGCCAUACAGGUCCGUUGUGAAAACUCGAGGCUUAACCUCGGGACGUCGAUGGAAACCGUAUGGCUAGAGUCCGGAAGAGGAGAGUGGAAUUCCUGGUGUAGCGGUGAAAUGCGCAGAUAUCAGGAAGAACACCCGUGGCGAAGGCGGGUCUCUGGGCAGUAACUGACGCUGAGGAGCGAAAGCGUGGGGAGCGAACAGG
rnacentral:rRNA from 1 species